AAACAUUGGGAUUAAAUCAUUUUUAUUGACGUUGAGUUGUGUUUGUUGGAGAUGGCUAAGCUUACUUUAAUGCAUAUUUUCGCUCUUUACGUUUUGGUUGCAGGUAUAUUUUAGAUAGUGUAACAAUAUCUGUUUUCCUGAUAUUUAUCUAUGUUUAAUUUACAAAACUUAUCACAGUUUAAUCACCAAUGCUAUUUGUAUAAUUGAUGUGACACUUUUGUUUUUAUAUCACAUAAUAAUAGUACAUUGUUUUAUAAAAUGAAAACUCAUGUGACAUAUUAAAUUAAAAUUUGAAGAGAGUUAGCCUGCCUAAAAUUAUAAUUCUUGCAUGUCGUAACUUUGUUUCUAAAAUUUCAGGUAUUUUCAACACGAGUGAAGCAAACGCCAGUAGUAUGGGGCUACCUAGAAGAAGGCCAGUAAGGCUUUCUACAGGUGGUUGCCAUCCUCUAAGAUGUCCACGUGAAUGUGAAAAAAAGUAUGGUGGCACUUAUUAUAAUAUACGGGGUGAUUGCGUUAACAACAAUUGCAUGUGUACUUAUGAUGGCUGAUAUGUUUGUACCCUUCUUAAAUGAAGAAUGAAUAAAAACUGAUUAUAUAUUGAAUUGGAAA
rnacentral:lncRNA from 1 species